GAUGAAGAACGCAGCGAAAUGCGAUAAGUAGUGUGAAUUGCAGAAGUACCGUGAAUCAUCGAAUCUUUGAACGCAAAUUGCACUCUCUGGUAUUCCGGGGAGUAUGCCUGUUUGAGGGUCGCUUAACAAACCAUCGAUUUCGUUGCUUUUUUUUUAAAAAGUGAUGUUUAUCGGAUUUGAGCCGUCUUUUUUUUUAUAUUUAAGUGGCUUAAAAUUGAUUUUUUUGGUACGAUCGAAGCGUAUUUUUAUGAUCAAUUUUAGGUUAAAGAAACGCACACGUACCGUUAUUUAUAUGAUGUAAUACGUUUGACUAUUGGAUUUAGUUCAUUCGUAUACGAUAUUUUUCAAUAUUUGACCUCAAAUCAGGUAAGAACACCCGCUGAACUUAAGCAUAUCAAUAAGCGGAGGA
rnacentral:misc_RNA from 1 species